ACAUAUAUCUGUAUUAGUUUUUAUACAUUAAUUUGACACCUGUAUUGAAAAUACCAUAUUGUAUUCAUACAGAAUCAGUUUGGUAUCAUUGUUUGUCUGAUUGCUGAAACUAAGAGCUAGUUUUGAUCUAAAGUAUCCAAAGUUGAGCUCUAAUGUUUCUUCACCCUUGUGUGUGUGAUAUGUGAUUUCCUACAUGCUGACAGAGCAGAGCAGCAGUUUGUGCUCACAGAUGGUGACGGUGUGGAGAGACGGUGGUGUUUCCUCAGAAGAACUAGCAGAGUCACCAAGGACACGAGUCCAUCUCACCACCUUGACUUGUUGAUCAGUGGAUACACUUGUCUCCCCUUUAAAGGAGAUACUCUUAGAGAGAGACGAUCUGAGUCAUCCUUAAAUAUGGGCAGGAUAUCAGUCUUGGACUGUCUAACCUGCCGGAGCAGCACUGAAUGAUCACCACACAUGAUCAGUUCCUGCAACAUUCAGCAGCUCUGCUUUUGCUGGAGAGGAAACUACACCAGUGUACUGGGAUGUUUCAGCAACACGUGCCAGAUCCUGUUCCUUCAUGGUGACAUCACCAGCGACGGCCCCGCCCACCUCAGGACCUCGCCAUUGAUCAUGAUGAUUUUAAUGAUGACAGCGAGCGGAACUAAGACUGUAAAAAUCAGAAUGUUUAGAUGCUUUCUAAUUAUUAAUGAAUACUGAGAGCCUCUUUCUGUGUUUUGUCUGUUUUGUUUUGUUUUGUUUUACCUCAUUUGUUACUAACAAAGUUCACCAAACUCAGUUUACAUUCUGUAUGUUUCCAUCUUUACCAGCCACACUCUACCCGCAAUUAAGAAAAUAAUCCUUAGAAAUCGUAGUUUUUCUCUUUUGUAAUUGAUGAUAAUUCAGUGAAUAUACUGCGCUGCUUCCUUUAAUUGCGUCUCACAUUGCUUUAAGUUUUUCCAGUGUCCAGUUAUUUUUUACUGUUGUUUGAAUUCUCUGUAUGUUUGACCCUGUAGACUGUUUAAUGGACUGCUUGUCUUCCUGUUUGUAACCGACGCCUGUUUUUGACUAAAGAUUUGGAUUUCUGACUUUAACACAGCCUCUGCGUGUCCUCCCUUUGUGUCCUCUUCCUCUGUGAAUGUGUUGCAUGUGUCACAGAUUCAUUUAUUAACAGCUUUCCCACAGUGAGUUGCAUCAGCAUUCAUUCACAGCACAUUGCAGAAGGA